rnacentral:lncRNA from 1 species
GGCAUCAGCGUUGCGGCUCGAGGCAAAGCUGGUCCUGUGCCUGCUGUCCAUUGCCGCUAAGGCCUGCUGCUGCCAUUCAGGCGUGUCUCUCUCUCUCUCUCUCUUUCAUGCCGCUCUCUCCACCCCAUCUUGGGACGGCCAGCUCUAAGAAUUCCUGCUACGACACUGAAUUCAACCAGGAGGUGAUGCCACACUCAAUCAGAAACUAUGCUACUGCUGAAGAGGUAUAUUGAGCCCUGCCUGGUUAACCUCCAGUGAGGUUAUUAGAGAAUUGGGAGAGGCUCAAAUCAGCAUCCUGCACCUAGUUAUCAAACCAUUGUGAAGUCUUGAUUCCUGGAUGGCCAGAAAACUUGUCAUUGGUCAAGAGCAACAUUAAGAUCUGCCUGUUACUCAUACUGAUGCUUCCUGCCCAGCAAGUUCAUCAGAGGGCGAGGAUGAAUUACGGUUGCCAUGAAUGUCCUUGUGAGGCAGUUGGGAAGCCUUGGCUGGAUUGUGAAGGAUAUUUGAAAAGUAUUUUAGAGUCCACCAGAUCAUCCAUGUGAGUGACCAUGCAGCAAAAGAAGGAGGGUCCUCUCAGUGAUUAAGGAAUAACUCAUAUCCAUGAGUACAAUUAUACGCCAGUCCUGUGGGUCCUUGCAAAUCACUGAAACUACCCUUGUGCUGGGGCUCGCCAACGCAAAAGCACAGAUCUCAAACACAGCAGACAAAGACAUCAAGGAAGCUAAUACAAACAUGUUCAGAGAACUAAAGAAAACCACACUUAAAGAAGUAAUGUGCCAGGCGCAAUGGCUCACGCCUGUAAUCUCAGCACUUUGGGAGGCCGAGGUGGGUGGAACACCUGAGGUCAGGAGUUCAAGACCAGCCUGGCCAACAUGGUGAAACCCUGACUCUACUAAAAAUACACACAAAAAAGAAAAAA